rnacentral:rRNA from 1 species
CCUACGGGUGGCAGCAGUGAGGAAUAUUGGUCAAUGGACGAGAGCCUGAACCAGCCAAGUAGCGUGAAGGAUGACUGCCCUAUGGGUUGUAAACUUCUUUUAUAUGGGAAUAAAAUGUUCCACGUGUGGGAUUUUGUAUGUACCAUAUGAAUAAGGAUCGGCUAACUCCGUGCCAGCAGCCGCGGUAAUACGGAGGAUCCGAGCGUUAUCCGGAUUUAUUGGGUUUAAAGGGAGAGUAGGUGGUUUGUUAAGUCAGUUGUGAAAGUUUGCGGCGCAACCGUAAAAUUGAAGUUGAAACUGGCAGUCUUGAGUACAGUAGAGGGGGGCGGAAUUCGUGGUGUAGCGGUGAAAUGCUUAGAUAUCACGAAGAACCCCGAUUGCGAAGGCAGCUCACUGGACUGCAACUGACACUGAGGCUCGAAAGUGUGGGUAUCAAACAGGAUUAGAUACCCGGGUAGUC